AUGAUGCUUGCUAUGACGCCUGGAGGUAGGCGCUAUUACUGAGAAAACAGGCUUUGUGACUUGUCCAGGGUCAGCUAAUAAAUGUCUGAGGCUGCCUUUGAACUCUGGUCUCCCCAUCUCUAGGUCUAAUUGCACCAUUUAGCUCCCUCACUUUCCAGAAUUCACCUGGGGAGGAGGCAGGCUGGAGAUCUGAUCCUAGAUGGUCUUAGCUCACAAGCCCCAUACCCAGGCUCCGGGUGAGGGAUCAGCAAGGAAAGCCGUAUCCCCCUGAGCCCAGAGCUGGACGGCUGCUGCCUCCCUUCCCCUGGGGAAUGGCAGCUGUGGGAGAUCGUGCAAAAUCAGCUGCAUUGCCCACGUCUGGGCAGGAGGCAGUGGCUGGGCUUCCCCGCUGUGUCUCCUUCCAUGUUCUCCAGAGCUGAGGAGAGUUAGAGUUUGGGGUUUGGGGGAAUGGGGAAGGACACCAAGUGAUGGAGGUGCAGUUUUCAGAUAUGGUCACAAAGGGGCAGUGUGAAUCUAUAUACAAAUAAGCCCAUUGUUGUGAAGAUUCUGGGAUGAAUUUUAAAAGGGGUGUGGGUGGGGAGCUCCCUUCUUGGUCAGCCUCUUUUGGAUGUCUUCCAACUUAUCAAUAGCUUUAAAAAAUAUGAUGUCCAGAAAUGAACACAAGAUUUCAUAUAUAAUCUGGUCAAGGAAGAGGAAACAAUCACUUUCCACAUUCUGUCGUGGUUCAGAGGAGUGUACAAGAAGGGCUUGCACUUCAGGUGGAAGGAUUUGUUCAUCCAUCCUUGGUCAGUACCCGGCACACUGUGGUUCCGGGAAGCCCCAUGCAGCAUGUGCAGUGGCCACAUCCCAGCAAAACCUUCUCAGCCCAUGGGCUGAACCAGGGAGAGGAUGAUGGACAGACCUCCAAGCCAUUGAAAAAGAAAAGGGGAAAAAAAUCCUUGUAACAAAUAUACAGUCUCAUUCUGCUGCCUGAUUCAAUCUCCUCUAUCAGAAGGAAAAACCAGGACACAGGUGAAGUGACUUGUCCAGAACCCAUUCAGUGGAAAGAGUGGGUGAUUUGAUCCCAUAUAUUGCCAACUCAAAAGUUCAACACCUGAUUCACUG